AUCUACUAUCCUCAACUAGCAUCUACUAUCCUCAACUAGCAUCUACUAUCCUCAACUAAGAUGUUACUUGAGAAUAGUAGAUGUUAGUUGAGGAUAGCAGAUG
rnacentral:pre_miRNA from 1 species